UACGAAGGGGGCUACGUGUCUGCUGGAAUCACUGGGCGUAAAGCGCACGUAGGCGGCUCUUUAAGUCAGAGGUGAAAUCCUGGGGCUCAACCCCAGAACUGCCUUUGAUACUGAGGAGCUUGAGUCCGGGAGAGGUGAGUGGAACUGCGAGUGUAGAGGUGAAAUUCGUAGAUAUUCGCAAGAACACCAGUGGCGAAGGCGGCUCACUGGCCCGGUACUGACGCUGAGGUGCGAAAGCGUGGGGAGCAAACAGG
rnacentral:rRNA from 1 species